AUUGAACGCUGGCGGCAUGCCUUACACAUGCAAGUCGAACGGCAGCACGGGAGCAAUCCUGGUGGCGAGUGGCGAACGGGUGAGUAAUAUAUCGGAACGUGCCCAGUCGUGGGGGAUAACGUAGCGAAAGCUACGCUAAUACCGCAUACGAUCUACGGAUGAAAGCGGGGGAUCGCAAGACCUCGCGCGAUUGGAGCGGCUGAUAUCAGAUUAGCUAGUUGGUGAGGUAAAGGCUCACCAAGGCAACGAUCUGUAGUUGGUCUGAGAGGACGACCAGCCACACUGGGACUGAGACACGGCCCAGACUCCUACGGGAGGCAGCAGUGGGGGAUUUUGGACAAUGGGCGAGAGCCUGAUCCAGCAAUGCCGCGUGCAGGACGAAGGCCUUCGGGUUGUAAACUGCUUUUGUACGGAGCGAAAAGCUUUGGGCUAAUACCCUGAAGUCAUGACGGUACCGUAAGAAUAAGCACCGGCUAACUACGUGCCAGCAGCCGCGGUAAUACGUAGGGUGCAAGCGUUAAUCGGAAUUACUGGGCGUAAAUCGUGCGCAGGCGGUUUUGUAAGACAGAGGUGAAAUCCCCGGGCUCAACCUGGGAACUGCCUUUUGUGACUGCAAAGCUUUGAGUGCGGCAGAGGGGGAUGGAAUUCCGCGUGUAGCAGUGAAAUGCGUAGAUAUGCGGAGGAACACCGAUGGCGAAGGCAAUCCCCCUGGGGCCUGCACUGACGCUCAUGCACGAAACCUGGGGAGCAAACAGGAUUGAUACCUUGGUAGUCCCAGGGUCUAUUUUACUUGGAUAUCACGCUUAUUGAUUCCUUUACCUUUAUGAGAGGGGCUCGUUCUCUUUUUUUUUUCUUCAUUGUAGGGUUAAUUACUUGC
rnacentral:rRNA from 1 species